UACGUAGGGGCAAGCGUUGUCCGGAAUCAUUGGGCGUAAAGAGCGCGUAGGCGGCCCUGUAAGUCCGCUGUGAAAGUCAAGGGCUCAACCCUUGAAUGCCGGUGGAUACUGCAGGGCUAGAGUCCGGAAGAGGCGAGUGGAAUUCCUGGUGUAGCGGUGAAAUGCGCAGAUAUCAGGAAGAACACCCGUGGCGAAGGCGGCUCUCUGGGACGGUACUGACGCUGAGACGCGAAAGCGUGGGAGCGAACAGG
rnacentral:rRNA from 1 species